GAAAAAACAGAGAGAAAAGAAAACCAAAAACAUUUCUUGGCUGGCUUGAAGAGAUUCUAAGGAGAUCCAAAUGAAAUCAAAGCCAAAGUAGUGGAUUAAGCUUAGUUUUGGCCUUUUUAUGAUAUUUCUUGGUGGUUUCCAAGUGGUUUGAGGUUUAGAAAGGCUAGAAGAGAUUAUUUUCGCCGAAAAGUUGCUCGGUAGAGAAACAAAUGAGUGAAUGACAAAGGAGAACUGAAGCUUGGUCCUGACCCUGAUUUGUACAUAUGAACAUAUCGACCUUUUGUGGAUUAUUUCAGUUUAUCAGUGUGUGUGUUUGUAAUAAAGUGUGGCGUUAUGUUUUGAAAACAAAUUGAGUUAUUUAAUACUUAUGUAUAAUAUGUUUGAGACACACUUUAUGUUUAAUGUAAAUAAUGUGAAAUAAGUUUUUUAAAAAAAUCCAGACUUCCGCUGAAAGUAAUUAUGAUAUAGUUUUAAAACGUAACACCUCAUAUAUGGUUUUAACUAAAAUAAGUGAGGGUAUUAC